rnacentral:rRNA from 1 species
AGUGUGUGUGUUAGUGGAAGCGUCUGGAAAGGCGUGCGAUACAGGGUGACAGCCCCGUACACAAAAAUGCACAUAUUGUGAGCUCGAUGAGUAGGGCGGGACACGUGGUAUCCUGUCUGAAUAUGGGGGGACCAUCCUCCAAGGCUAAAUACUCCUGACUGACCGAUAGUGAACCAGUACCGUGAGGGAAAGGCGAAAAGAACCCCGGCGAGGGGAGUGAAAAAGAACCUGAAACCGUGUACGUACAAGCAGUGGGAGCCUCUUAAUGGGGUGACUGCGUACCUUUUGUAUAAUGGGUCAGCGACUUAUAUUCUGUAGCAAGGUUAACCGAAUAGGGGAGCCGAAGGGAAACCGAGUCUUAACUGGGCGUUAAGUUGCAGGGUAUAGACCCGAAACCCGGUGAUCUAGCCAUGGGCAGGUUGAAGGUUGGGUAACACUAACUGGAGGACCGAACCGACUAAUGUUGAAAAAUUAGCGGAUGACUUGUGGCUGGGGGUGAAAGGCCAAUCAAACCGGGAGAUAGCUGGUUCUCCCCGAAAGCUAUUUAGGUAGCGCCUCGUGAAUUCAUCUCCGGGGGUAGAGCACUGUUUCGGCAAGGGGGUCAUCCCGACUUACCAACCCGAUGCAAACUGCGAAUACCGGAGAAUGUUAUCACGGGAGACACACGGCGGGUGCUAACGUCCGUCGUGAAGAGGGAAACAACCCAGACCGCCAGCUAAGGUCCCAAAGUCAUGGUUAAGUGGGAAACGAUGUGGGAAGGCCCAGACAGCCAGGAUGUUGGCUUAGAAGCAGCCAUCAUUUAAAGAAAGCGUAAUAGCUCACUGGUCGAGUCGGCCUGCGCGGAAGAUGUAACGGGGCUAAACCAUGCACCGAAGCUGCGGCAGCGACACUAUGUGUUGUUGGGUAGGGGAGCGUUCUGUAAGCCUGUGAAGGUGGCCUGUGAGGGUUGCUGGAGGUAUCAGAAGUGCGAAUGCUGACAUAAGUAACGAUAAAGCGGGUGAAAAGCCCGCUCGCCGGAAGACCAAGGGUUCCUGUCCAACGUUAAUCGGGGCAGGGUGAGUCGACCCCUAAGGCGAGGCCGAAAGGCGUAGUCGAUGGGAAACAGGUUAAUAUUCCUGUACUUGGUGUUACUGCGAAGGGGGGACGGAGAAGGCUAUGUUGGCCGGGCGACGGUUGUCCCGGUUUAAGCGUGUAGGCUGGUUUUCCAGGCAAAUCCGGAAAACCAAGGCUGAGGCGUGAUGACGAGGCACUACGGUGCUGAAGCGACAAAUGCCCUGCUUCCAGGAAAAGCCUCUAAGCAUCAGGUAACAUCAAAUCGUACCCCAAACCGACACAGGUGGUCAGGUAGAGAAUACCAAGGCGCUUGAGAGAACUCGGGUGAAGGAACUAGGCAAAAUGGUGCCGUAACUUCGGGAGAAGGCACGCUGAUAUGUAGGUGAAGCGACUUGCUCGUGGAGCUGAAAUCAGUCGAAGAUACCAGCUGGCUGCAACUGUUUAUUAAAAACACAGCACUGUGCAAACACGAAAGUGGACGUAUACGGUGUGACGCCUGCCCGGUGCCGGAAGGUUAAUUGAUGGGGUUAGCGGCAACGCGAAGCUCUUGAUCGAAGCCCCGGUAAACGGCGGCCGUAACUAUAACGGUCCUAAGGUAGCGAAAUUCCUUGUCGGGUAAGUUCCGACCUGCACGAAUGGCGUAAUGAUGGCCAGGCUGUCUCCACCCGAGACUCAGUGAAAUUGAACUCGCUGUGAAGAUGCAGUGUACCCGCGGCAAGACGGAAAGACCCCGUGAACCUUUACUAUAGCUUGACACUGAACAUUGAGCCUUGAUGUGUAGGAUAGGUGGGAGGCUUUGAAGUGUGGACGCCAGUCUGCAUGGAGCCGACCUUGAAAUACCACCCUUUAAUGUUUGAUGUUCUAACGUUGGCCCGUAAUCCGGGUUGCGGACAGUGUCUGGUGGGUAGUUUGACUGGGGCGGUCUCCUCCUAAAGAGUAACGGAGGAGCACGAAGGUUGGCUAAUCCUGGUCGGACAUCAGGAGGUUAGUGCAAUGGCAUAAGCCAGCUUGACUGCGAGCGUGACGGCGCGAGCAGGUGCGAAAGCAGGUCAUAGUGAUCCGGUGGUUCUG